CGCGGAGACGGCUGCCAAACGACAGGACUUUAAGCUGCGGUUCAGCACUGAUUUCCCUUCCUAGGGGCCUAGCGUGAAAUGGGAGGUGUAGCCCAUUUUAGAGAUAGGAACACUGAGCCCCGGGAGGAUUCACGUGUGGUAAACUACCCAAGGACAGCAGAGAAGAGGGAAUACAUGCUCCGAGACAGGGUGGGCAAGGAGCCCUAAGGUUCUAGGGUGCCAUCUGACAUUUCUACCAGGAGAAACAGUAAAUAAAAGGUGCUAAUGAACAGUGAAGUGUUCAAAAGGCUGUCAGCCAGAGGAAGUGGUAGGAGAAAAAGCAAGACAUGGAUGACCCCAGAAACUGGACCAUCAGCCUCGAAAUGCUUGAGUUGACUAGAGUGAGGAUCAGCUAUUAGUUAUCUCCUCAACUAAAUUCCACGAGGAUAUAUGUCAUGAAACCAGAUCUUUGCAUUAAGAGUUUUCAUGUAUGCAGAGUCUGUCUUGGUUAACAUGAACCAUGGUAUAGUCUUAGAAAUUCUCUACACUGCGGUGAUUUUCCUGGGCGGCAAUGAUAAGAUGUUUAACGGCAGAGCACAGCUAAUCAACUACAGGCUCCUCUGCUAAAUAUGGCCAACGGGCUGCUUAUGAGUCACGACUCUGGCAGACAGCCCUUCUUUUAGACCAAUGGGAAUGUGAUUGACUCACUGCCAUGCCUUUCUUUCUAGGAGAGAAUAUAAGCAUUGCCGGUAUCCAAAUCAUUUUUUUUAUUAUUGCUCCAAAUACAUGUUUUAGUAAAUAGCCUUUUGAAAGUAUUGAAAGUAUUGUGAACAUUUUGAGGUUUAUGUUGAGCAUUCGGUUUUCAAGAAUUGUUGAAAGUAAAUG